AGAUUAAGUUAUUAAGGGCGCACGGUGGAUGCCUUGGCACUAGAAGCCGAUGAAGGACGUUACUAACGACGAUAUGCUUUGGGGAGCUGUAAGUAAGCUUUGAUCCAGAGAUUUCCGAAUGGGGAAACCCAGCAUGAGUUAUGUCAUGUUAUCGAUAUGUGAAUACAUAGCAUAUCAGAAGGCACACCCGGAGAACUGAAACAUCUUAGUACCCGGAGGAAGAGAAAGAAAAUUCGAUUCCCUUAGUAGCGGCGAGCGAAACGGGAAGAGCCCAAACCAACAAGCUUGCUUGUUGGGGUUGUAGGACACUCUAUACGGAGUUACAAAGGACGACAUUAGACGAAUCAUCUGGAAAGAUGAAUCAAAGAAGGUAAUAAUCCUGUAGUCGAAAAUGUUGUCUCUCUUGAGUGGAUCCUGAGUACGACGGAGCACGUGAAAUYCCGUCGGAAUCUGGGAGGACCAUCUCCUAAGGCUAAAUACUCUCUAGUGACCGAUAGUGAACCAGUACCGUGAGGGAAAGGUGAAAAGCACCCCGGAAGGGGAGUGAAAUAGAACCUGAAACCGUGUGCUUACAAGUAGUCAGAGCCCGUUAAUGGGUGAUGGCGUGCCUUUUGUAGAAUGAACCGGCGAGUUACGAUUUGAUGCAAGGUUAAGCAGUAAAUGUGGAGCCGUAGCGAAAGCGAGUCUGAAUAGGGCGUUUAGUAUUUGGUCGUAGACCCGAAACCAGGUGAUCUACCCUUGGUCAGGUUGAAGUUCAGGUAACACUGAAUGGAGGACCGAACCGACUUACGUUGAAAAGUGAGCGGAUGAACUGAGGGUAGCGGAGAAAUUCCAAUCGAACCUGGAGAUAGCUGGUUCUCUCCGAAAUAGCUUUAGGGCUAGCCUCAAGUGAUGAUUAUUGGAGGUAGAGCACUGUUUGGACGAGGGGCCCCUCUCGGGUUACCGAAUUCAGACAAACUCCGAAUGCCAAUUAAUUUAACUUGGGAGUCAGAACAUGGGUGAUAAGGUCCGUGUUCGAAAGGGAAACAGCCCAGACCACCAGCUAAGGUCCCAAAAUAUAUGUUAAGUGGAAAAGGAUGUGGCGUUCAAUGGUAGGAGAGCGUUCUAAGGGCGUUGAAGCAUGAUCGUAAGGACAUGUGGAGCGCUUAGAAGUGAGAAUGCCGGUGUGAGUAGCGAAAGACGGGUGAGAAUCCCGUCCACCGAUUGACUAAGGUUUCCAGAGGAAGGCUCGUCCGCUCUGGGUUAGUCGGGUCCUAAGCUGAGGCCGACAGGCGUAGGCGAUGGAUAACAGGUUGAUAUUCCUGUACCACCUAUAAUCGUUUUAAUCGAUGGGGGGACGCAGUAGGAUAGGCGAAGCGUGCGAUUGGAUUGCACGUCUAAGCAGUAAGGCUGAGUAUUAGGCAAAUCCGGUACUCGUUAAGGCUGAGCUGUGAUGGGGAGAAGACAUUGWGUCUUCGAGUCGUUGAUUUCACACUGCCGAGAAAAGCCUCUAGAUAGAAAAUAGGUGCCCGUACCGCAAACCGACACAGGUAGUCAAGAUGAGAAUUCUAAGGUGAGCGAGCGAACUCUCGUUAAGGAACUCGGCAAAAUGACCCCGUAACUUCGGGAGAAGGGGUGCUCUUUAGGGUUAACGCCCAGAAGAGCCGCAGUGAAUAGGCCCAAGCGACUGUUUAUCAAAAACACAGGUCUCUGCUAAACCGUAAGGUGAUGUAUAGGGGCUGACGCCUGCCCGGUGCUGGAAGGUUAAGAGGAGUGGUUAGCUUCUGCGAAGCUACGAAUCGAAGCCCCAGUAAACGGCGGCCGUAACUAUAACGGUCCUAAGGUAGCGAAAUUCCUUGUCGGGUAAGUUCCGACCCGCACGAAAGGCGUAACGAUUUGGGCACUGUCUCAACGAGAGACUCGGUGAAAUCAUAGUACCUGUGAAGAUGCAGGUUACCCGCGACAGGACGGAAAGACCCCGUGGAGCUUUACUGUAGCCUGAUAUUGAAAUUCGGCACAGCUUGUACAGGAUAGGUAGGAGCCUUUGAAACGUGAGCGCUAGCUUACGUGGAGGCGCUGGUGGGAUACUACCCUAGCUGUGUUGGCUUUCUAACCCGCACCACUUAUCGUGGUGGGAGACAGUGUCAGGCGGGCAGUUUGACUGGGGCGGUCGCCUCCUAAAAGGUAACGGAGGCGCUCAAAGGUUCCCUCAGAAUGGUUGGAAAUCAUUCAUAGAGUGUAAAGGCAUAAGGGAGCUUGACUGCGAGACCUACAAGUCGAGCAGGGUCGAAAGACGGACUUAGUGAUCCGGUGGUUCCGCAUGGAAGGGCCAUCGCUCAACGGAUAAAAGCUACCCCGGGGAUAACAGGCUUAUCUCCCCCAAGAGUUCACAUCGACGGGGAGGUUUGGCACCUCGAUGUCGGCUCAUCGCAUCCUGGGGCUGUAGUCGGUCCCAAGGGUUGGGCUGUUCGCCCAUUAAAGCGGUACGCGAGCUGGGUUCAGAACGUCGUGAGACAGUUCGGUCCCUAUCCGUCGUGGGCGUAGGAAAUUUGAGAGGAGCUGUCCUUAGUACGAGAGGACCGGGAUGGACAUACCUCUGGUGUACCAGUUGUCGUGCCAACGGCAUAGCUGGGUAGCUAUGUGUGGACGGGAUAAGUGCUGAAAGCAUCUAAGCAUGAAGCCCCCCUCAAGAUGAGAUUUCCCAACUUCGGUUAUAAGAUCCCUCAAAGAUGAUGAGGUUAAUAGGUUCGAGGUGGAAGCAUGGUGACAUGUGGAGCUGACGAAUACUAAUCGAUCGAAGACUUAAUCAAAA
rnacentral:rRNA from 1 species